GCCGUUGUAGCUCAGUUGGUAGAGCAGCUGAUUCGUAAUCAGCAGGUCGCCGGUUCAAAUCCGGCCAACGGCUCCA
rnacentral:tRNA from 1 species